UAGAUAGCCUGACGAAGUAAGAAACCCAUUCAGGGUUUCUAGGGCAAGGACUAAAAGGACUUGUGGUAAUUGUGGAAAAGAAGGACACAUUGUAAGGGGUUGCACUGCUACUGGAUAGGUGAAACACCUGGAUAAAGGAGAGUAAGGAAAAGUAAACAAGCUAAGGGUUUGCAUGGUUUUUCCAAUAGUCAGGGUGAAAGGCAAUAUAAGUAAGCUCCAAGCUCACAGCCAACUCCAAGAUCUGAGAAGAAGACACAGCCAUUCAAAAGUCCAAGACAAACUAAAGAUGGUCACCCUUCAACAAACUAAAGAAGAAUGAUUUGAACUUUUGUAUUUUGAGUAUUGCAUGUGGUGAUGGAUUUGUAAAUGGAAAUUCUUAUGUAUUUUGACAAGUGGAAGUGGUUAUGGUAUUUAGUCUCAGUUUUGUAACCGUGAAUGCAGGCAUCAUAUUGUAACUGCAAAAAUCUUCUAUUCAUAGCGAUGGUGUUAUUUUGUAUAGGGCUGUAGAUAUGUAUUCUCCAAGUUGAUCUCAUAUCAGGGGAUUUUUUGUCAUUUUGUAUAGGUCUAUGAUGUUAUUCCACACCAAUAUUAAUGAAAUAUGUCAUUAAAUGAAA